CCAAAAUAUGCCGGAGCCAUUAAGAAGUUGAGGGCCAAUGAAGAUUCUUGCGAAAUAGGGGUGACUAAUUAGAAGAAACACAUGUCUCCUUAAUAGCAGUCAAUGGCCUAGGAAGCCCAAGGAAUGAAUGAAUUCCCCAAUUCCCAAAGCUUCAAGGCAAAACAUUUCAGAAUCAUGCUCUGAGUAGGCCUGGCAGAUUCUCAAAGUAGAGUGGCUGCAAAAUACUCACUUGAUAUUUUAAGCAUAAAAAUUUAUGCUUAAAUUUGUAAAAAUUUGUUAAAGUUGAGGAGAAGAUACUGCUAGUCAGGAAGUAUAUGUGGAGAACAUGAGUAUUAAAUCAGUAUGUGUGCAGUUUCCAAGAACUAUGAGUAAGCAAACCACUUCUUGACUUCAACUGGAUGUCAUUUUACCUAAAUAUAUGCAGGGGAUAUUAAUACUAUACUUUGUGUUUACUUUAACAACCACCAGGCCUGUGUGAAAAUCAGCUUCACAGCCAAAUAAAGUGACAAAAAUGACAACUCCAAGAACACAGAAACCACUUUGCAAGUUUUGCUUGCAUAUUCUGUGUAAUCUCCAGAAAAGAAGUCUUACACAUUUGUGCACUGGCUGCCUUUCCUACCGACUUUCUCAAGCCCCCAUUUAACACCCUGGGCAGGGGUCUUAACAAAAAUGCUAACAUUCAAGUCAUCUAAAUGCCUCUGACCUUCAAAAUGUGUCCACUGUUCUAGCUGUUACUAAGUGGGUAAAUCUCACCCCUAACUUAGAGCUCCAAAUUGCUGAGCAGAACUGUGAUGUUCAGAGCAGCCAUUCACACACUCCUCAGAUGGAGAGAAGGACUGCGAGAGUUAGCCACCAAGUGAGGGUCAGCCUCAAUGUGACUAACUGAUUGCAAUGAUGGCCUCUGAGGAUGAGAAGGUAGGCCUGCCAUCUCUGCAUUACUCCCAGAUCAGCAUGCAAUCUGGAGGGCUACAACAAAUGUAAAUACACUGAAGAUAUGACCUGCACUUUACCAAAAUUUAAAACAUAUAUUUGGGGAGAAGUUUCACCAAGCACAAGAAUCAAAUGGUAAAGUUAAUAAGAGAAAUCGUCAAAGUUACAUAAUACUUAUUUGAUGAUAAGAAGUCCCCAGAUAUGUGCUGCAGACACACACUAAUUCUAACGGCAUUCAGAGGACAGAGACUGCACUGUGGACAAGGUCCUUAGAAGAGGCUUUAGGAAGGGUUGGGUCUUUAAUUAUGAGGCCGCUUAAGCUUAACAAUUAAGGAAAAGAGUUCUGGAGCAACACACUCUGCUUUCCAAUCUUCAACUCAGAGGAAAUGGAAAUACUAAUAGUAUCUACCAGGAAGGGCUAAGUCAAAUAACGAAUGUGAAGCAGCACCUGGUAUAUGGUAAGGGCUCAAUUAAAUACUAGUACACAAAAUAAACCAACAAAACAACCUGACCUUGAAAGACAGAUUGUGCUGAAUAGGAUGUGGGGAGAAAGGAACCCUCCCAACUGCUGGUGAAAAUAUAAAUUGGUGCAGCCACCAUAGAGAAUAGUAAUGGAACUUCCUUAAAAAACUACAAGUAGAGUUACUAUAUGAUCUGCAAUCCCAUUCCUGGGCAUGUAUCUGGAGAAAACUCUAAUUCAAAAAGAUACAUGCACCCCUAUGUUCACAGCAGCACUAUUUACAACAGCCAAGACAUGGAAGCAAUCUAGGUGUCCACUGACAGAUGAAUGGAUAAAGAAGAUGUGAUAUAUAACCACAAUGGAAUAUUACUCAGACAUAAAAAUAAGGAAAUAUUGCCAUUUCCAGCAACAGCAAUGGACCUAGAGAUUAUCAUACUAAGUGAAGUUAGACAAAGACAAAUAUAUGAUAUCACUUACGUGUGUAAUCAGAAGAAAAAAGAUAAAAAUGAACUUAUUUACAAAGUAGAAAGAGACUCACAGACAUAGAAAACAAAUUCAUGGUUACUAAAAGGGAAGGGGGGAUAAAUUAGGAAGUUGGGAUUACCAUGUACACACUACAAAAUAGAUAAAGAACAAGACCCACAGUAUAUAGCACAAGGAACAUACUCAGUACCUUGAAAUAGCUUAUAAUGGAAAAGAAUACGAAAAAGUUAUACACACAUAUGUAACUGAAUCACUUUGCUGUACACGUGAAACGAACACAAUAUGGUAAAAUAACAUACUUCAAUUUUUAAAGAAUUUUGAAAAAUGACGGAUUAUUUAGAAGUAGACAAAAGAGGGACAGCUAUAGAAGAUCAGAUGAUGCUUGGUGGAUAAAAGGUUGGGUCAGACUCUGUUUACUUACAUCACUCAACUAAGUUCCUGGAUAUUUAUCAUAAAUCUCCAGGAUUUAGAGGGACUGGGGAGAACACUAACAUCCAUUGGGCCUUCUCCUUGGAAUCUGAUGGGGAGGAAACCACAUCUUUGUUCCCCAAUUUCUCACUGAACACAUCUUGAGCCUAGCACACCACCAUCAGAAUAAUAUUCCAAAUAUUCAGAAAGCCCAAGCAGAAAGAUCAAAAUAAUUGCCUGACCCAAAAGAAGAGAGGGAACUGCUGAGUUUUCUUGAAACCAGACCUACGAGUCACUGACACUUAAAAGAGCUGUGUCCCUAACACAUCAUUAAGAAAGUGCUUUUCAAUUAAGUGAAAACCUGAGCCAAUCUCAAUGUUUGGAAUGGUGUAGACAGCUCACUUGCAGUACCCUUCCCCCAAUUAUUUUCAUAUCAUUUUUAUUUUGUUCUGCAAAUAAUGGGCUGAAAUGCUGGCUCCACAGAUCAGAUGUUUGGCAUUAUACAGUCAGAACCAAUAAAUAGAAAACAACUCACUCAAGAAACAUCCUAGCCAAGAAAGGGCAAUAAAUGGGCCAUUUCACUAUCAUCCAUAACGACUCCCCAGUCCCACAUUUCUGCAUAUGAUCCGGCAAUUAUGGCAACAGAUUGAGGAUUUCAAAGCAAUUUCUGCUGUUCCAGGUGCAAACAUAGUUGUUUAAUUGGUGUUUGUAGCUUAGGAAAAGGGAGUUUAUUGGACGCUUCCUCCGUGGCCUCCCAAAAUCCAGCUGCAAAAUCUAAACUUCCUUGCAAAACAACUUCGCACCUAAGCAGAAAGAGUCAGGGAAAUAUUUAGAAGAGGGACUGAAUAGCAGCUUUCCCAGGAGGAAGGACUGAAUAGCAGCUUUCCCAGCUUUCCUUCGGCUCUGUGUUUCUGGAGGACAUGUUUGGCCACUGCAUCAGAUUGCUGGGUUGGCAGAAGUUCCCAGCAAGCACCGCAUCUUGCCUUCAGGGAAGACCUGUGACACUUUUUCUUCUCUCACAGUGUGGGGUGGGAAGCAUGUCAGAGAGUCUACAACCAACAGAAAAGUCAAUUUUUCUAAUCACUUCUCUGCC
rnacentral:lncRNA from 1 species